AUACCAGCAUUUUUAGCAACAUGGAUGAACCUAGAAAUAACCUUGCUAAGUGAAGUCAGCCAUACAAUGAGGCACCAACAUCAAAUGCUUUCACUGACAUGUGGAAUCUGAAAAAAGGACAGACGGAACUUCUUUGCAGAACAGAUGCUGACUCACAGACAUUGAAAAACUUGUGGUCUCCGGAGGAGACAGUUUAGGGGGUGGGGGGGAUGUGCUUGGGUUGUGGGAUGGAAAUCCUGUGAAAUUGGAUUGUGAUGAUCAUUAUACAACUACAAAUGUGAUAAAUUCAUUUUAGUAAUAAAAAAAAAGAAAUGGAAAAAAAAAAAAGAACAACCAUAUGACACAGCAAUCCCACUCCUGGGCAUAUAUCCAGAAAAAACAUUCAUUCAAAAAGAUAUAUGCACCCCUAUGUUCAUUGCCGUAAUAUUCACAGUAUCCAAGACAUGGAAAUGACCUAAAUCUCCUCAACAGAUGAAUGGAUUAAAAAUGGAUUAUAUGUGGUACAUAUAAAUGAUGGAAUAAUACUCAGCCAUAAAAAGUGCCAUUUGUAGCUACAGGGAUGGAACUAAAGAUUCUUAUACUAAGUGAAGCAAGUCGGAAAGAGAAAGACAAAUACCAUAUGUUAUCACUUCUAAGUGGAAUCUAAAAUAUGGCACAAAUGAAACUCUAUAAAACAGAAAGAGACUCACAGACAUAGAGAUUUGACUUGUGGCUGCCAAGGGGAAGCGGGAAAUGUGGGGGAUAGACUUGGAAUUUGGGGUUAGUAGAUGCAAAUUAUUACAUUUAAAACAGAUAAGCAAUGAGGUCCAACUAUACACCAUAGGGAACUAUAUACAGUCGCUUCUCUUAGGAUAGAACAUGGUGUAAUAAGAUAUGCGAAAAACGAUGUGUGUGUGUGUAUGUGUGUGUGUGAGAGAGAGAGAGAGAGAGAGACUGGGUCAUUAUGCUGUAGAGCAGAAACUGAUUCAACAUGUAUAUCAACUAUACCCUAAUAAAUAAAUUUAAGUAAAAAUAAAUAAACAGGCAUUUUUUACAUAUUAAAAGUGAUACUGGAGUUCCCAUUGUGGUGUGGCAGAAAUGAAUCCAACUAGGAAUCAUGAGGUUGCAGGUUCAAUCCCUAGCCUCAAUCAUGGGUUAAGGAUCUGGUGUUGCUGUGAGCUGUGGUGUAGGCUGCAGACGCGGCUCAGAUCCUGCGUUGCUGUGGCUCUGGCAUAGGCUGGUGGCUAUGGCUCUGAUUAGACCCCUAGCCUGGGAACCUCCAUAUGCCACGGGAGUGGCCCAAGAAAUGGCAAAAAGCCAAAAAAAAAAAAAAAAAGAAAUCAAUAUACAUUAUAAGUUUAUUAUACACCAGUAAAUUUUUUUUUGUCUUUUUGCCUUUUCUUGGGCUGCUCCCAUGGCAUAUGGAGGUUCCGAGGCUAGGGUCCAAUCAGAGCUGUAGCUGCCGGCCUAUACCACAGCUACAGCAACACGGGAUCCGAGCCACAUCUGCAGCCUACACCGCAGCUCACGGCAAUGUCAGAUCUUUAACCCACUGAGCAAGGGCAGGGAUCGAACCCGCAACCUCAUGCUUCCUAGUUGGAUUAAUCACUGCGCCACGAUGGGAACUCCACCAAUAAAAUUUUAAAAAUAAAAAAUUAAAACACACUAGAGGGAGAGCAUACACAAUGACAUAAAAUAAAUGAUUAUUGGUUUCAAAUCUAUUAUUCUUUUUAAAUCUUUAUCAUUUCUGUUGAGCUCUGUUUUAGAAAUUGAACACUGCUGAAGAGUUCUUACUACUUUGGUUCUUGGGAUCUAUAGAGAAUACCAAGUAGUGAUAACAAAGAUCCUUAUCUGCAGUACGAGUGUGGAGUAUCACACCAUCGGAACCCAGCUUGACUACUGAACAUUCCACUGACUAAAUGCAGUAUCUGGAUCAAAUGCAGGGGAGAGUUCGUGUGUCAAAACCAACAACAAUGGAGUUCCCACUGUGGUGCAGUGGAAACUAAUCCAACUAGCAUCCAUGAGGAUGUGGUUUUGAUCCCUGACCUCGUUCAGUGGGUCAGGGACCUGGCGUUGCCAUAAGCUGUAGUGUCGGUCAGAAACACAGCUUGGAUCCCACAUUUCUGUGGAUAUGGCAUAGGCUGGCAGCUGUAGCUCCGACUCAACCCCUAGGCUGAACCUGGGAAAUUCCAUGUGCCACAGGUGCAGCCCUAUAAAGGAAAAAAAAAAAAAAAACUACAAGCAAAGAGAAACUAAAAAGAAAUGGUCAUUCUAUGGAUUUUAUAUUUUCAUGUAUAUAUUGCAUGUAUUUGACUGGUUGACCUUAUACUUGGCAGUGUAAUUUCUGAGCAUAUUAAUUAAAUACGCCUUUUUUUGCUGUGAUAUUAAAGAAAGAAAUGGAGCAUCCACAUUGAUUGGGAUGGUUUAAGCACAUCCCACACUAUUUCCAUAACCCUUAUUAAAGAUAAAAAGAAAAAAAUGAAUUUACUGGUGCUGGAAUCUCAAAGCAAACACCCGAACUAGUAAAGCUCAGAAUAAUAGGAUAAAUGGAUAGCAGGGUGAGUGAAGCACACAGAAAGACACACUGUCACUGCAUUGUUAAUUUGGCAAAAAUAACAAAAUUAUAGCCUGAAGUUACCAUGUAAAAAGUGUCAGUUUUAUGCAAAUUUUAAUCCACAUACACCUCCCAUAUCACAUACUCCUAAUAGGUCAUGUAAAUAGUAAGUUUUUCUCAACAAUAUAGAAAACAGUCUCUCAUACUUCUUUUUCAGAAAUUUGUAAGGGACUCAAGACUACUAAAGGCAUCCUGCUUAUAUGUGAAUUUUCUUAAUCCUGCUCCAAAUAAAAUAGGUUGCAUUUGGAUAUAAAGUAAUAACUACAUUUUCACCUACUUCACUAAAAUCCCAACGCUGAGUCCCAUCGCAGGGGAAAACUUGGAAACCAAUGUCUUCCUGUACUGAUGUCUUAUCAAGGAAAUAUUUUUCAUACUUGAAUGUUAUUAAUUAAUGGUGAUAAUUUUUCAUACACCAUAGGGAGCACGGAUGCAGACAGUGGAGAAAAGUCUUGGAGAGGAGAAAGAGUAUUUUGAAGAGCUGGUCAUGAGUAUCAUUAGAAUAAAAGAAAAAAUAAACAGUUGAAAACAACUGCACUAGGUUAAGAAUAUCAGGAAUAGAAAGCUAAAGAUUUAUGUUCUCCAUGGCAUUUCAGGAGGAAAAGCAGACACAGCCUCAAACCCUGGACUGGACAUUUACUUGAGAAGCUGCCAUCUCUUCCUUUUCUGGGUCAUUCCCUCAAUACUGUAUUGAGGAAUCCAUUCAACAUCUUGAGAAUAUAGCUUCAAAGGGGUCAGCACAGCUCCUUAAACCGCCCCCACCACACCCAUGAGCCAAACUUUCAAAGCUGACCUUGAAAUCCUAAAAAGACCACUUCUCCUGUGAUUUUUUCUCAGGGAAGAUUCAGGCACAAGGAGCUCCUGCCUGGAGACCAACCUGAGUGUGUUCUUUGUGGUCUACAUGUGAUCUCUCCUCACACAGAAGUCCCAGAAUUCUGCCUACAUGUGGUAGGUGAGCUGUGCUGAUCUUCCCCUUCCAAAUCCAUGUACAGCAGACCCUAAUGCUUCUCCUUGCCCUGAAGUCUGCCCUCAGUCCUCACAAAUGAACCCAGGAGAUCAUGUGAUGAAACUGGCCUCCUUUUAGAAUCACAUGAGGCUCUUAAUUAAAACAACUCUGGACGGAUCAAUUGGUGGAGAAGGAUGAAUCAAGAUGGCAGAGAGGUAAGACGUUGCACUCACCUUUUCCCACAAAGACAUCAAAAAAAAAAAAAAAAACCCCAUUAGAAAAAAAAAAAAAAAACCCCAUCUACAUGAAGAAUGAUUUGCAUAGAACAUCUACUGAAUGCUGGCAGAAGAAUUUAUACCUCCAAAAAGGGUAAGAAACCCUCUACAUAAAUGGGUAGAACAAAAGAAAAAAAAAAGAGAGAAAGAAAAGGAAUCAGGACAAGACCAGCAGUCCUGAAGGAAGCUGUUAAAGAGAAAAAGAACCCACAACCUGGGAAGUCAUCUAACCAAUGGGGAGAUCAGCCAAGGUGCAGGGACCUCACCGAGAAAAUCACAGCAGCUGGACUGAGAAGGGCAAAGCAAAGUGAGAGCAGCAUAAAUCAUCUGUACCACCAUCCCAGACGCCACUGCCUAAGGUGUUCAGGCAGGGGAUGGGUGCUGGGAUUCAGGAUGCAGAGGUCAGUUCUGGGGAGAGGACUAGGUUUGGCUGUGUGGAGACGACCUGAGGGGCUAGGGAGCAGUGUGCCAUGGGCUGGGGAGCAGUACACCAUAGCCAAGGGAACCCAGGAGGAGGUCUGGGCCUUUAGGAGAAGCAAGGUGCCAUUGUUGAGGAGGGCAAAAGGAGGAGGGGUGCACCACCAUAGGAAUGUCUUUCCCUGCACAUGCCUGGGCUCUCAGAGGGCUGUGUGCCUCUGGCACAGGCUACGGGUGAUGAGAGAACACUUGCUCGGGCUACAGGAGACCUGGCACCUCUUGUGCUGGCUAUGGGUGUCAGGGCACCUCUGUGUGGGCUAAGAGCAUCAGGGGUUAAGCCCAAUGUGCUUCCUCUUGCAUGAUCUACAGGUGGUGAGGACAACCCACAGCAGUCAUCUCUGAAACCAGAGGGAGGAGUUGUCUGCCACCACUAGGGGUUUGUUAACAGGCUUCACCUGUGGCACCAGCCACCUCAGAGCUCAGCAAAGAUGAGGGCAGUGCAACUGAGCACAGCCCUGUGUUGCUCUCACUCCCUUGGGAACACAGCCACCCUGCUGCUGUUGCUACCAAACACUCCAGGCAGCACCCACACAUGCCUCAUCGCUGUCGCUUCCCAGGACCCUGCAACCAGGAGCAGCCUGUGUAGCACCUCCUGUGUGGGCUAAGCCUCCUGUGUGGGCUGCUUCUUGAAAGGCCUAAAGAUGGUGGGAGAAAAUCACCACAGUUAUCUCUGACUCCAGAGGUGGACGUGGUCUGUCACCACUAGAGGCUCGUGACCAGGCAUCACAUGCAGCCACAAUCACCUCAGAGGGCAACAUGGAGGAGGGCAUUGGGACCAAAAAUAAACCGUGUGGCUCUCACUACCUGGGAACACACACACCUUGCCACUGCCACUGCCAAAGGCUCUGGGUACCAUCCAAAUCUGCCUGAUGUUCAUUGGCAUUCCCAGGGCCCUGCAACUAGGAGCAGCUUUCACCACUUUCUAGUGGGUUUUUGUUACUGUCAAGCACGUAGCAACCAGGCACUGACUACUAGCCUUGUGCAGUGCCUCUGUUUCCCUGGAAACACAAGUAGCACCCUAGCAAGGGGGUAACAGCCUGCUCAAAUGGAGGGAAAAGAGCAAAUAUCCAAAAUCCCAUGCCAAAAAAAAAUAGUAACCCCCACAAAAUACAAAGGGGUGCUUUUGCAUAGAAAAACCCAAGACUAUAGAGGUCUCCCUAAACUCACAGAAAAAUAAAAAUAUAAGCAAAAUAGAGAAGCCCAGGAACCACUGCCAGUUAAAAGACCAGAAGAAUUCAUCUGAAGAAGCAAACAAUGAAACCAAUCUCUGAAGUCAAACAGACACUGAGUUCAAAGGGAGACAAGGAAAAUGGUGAAGGAAUUAAGGGUGAAUAUGAAGGAAUUAAGAGCGGAUAUAGGAGUUCCCAUUGUGGCACAGCAGAAACGAAUCUGACUAGGAACCAUGAGGUUGGGGGUUUGAUCCCUGGCCUCACUUAGUGGGUUAAGGAUCCAGCAUUGCCAUGAGCUGUGGUGUAGGUCACAGAUGCAUCUCGGACCCUGCAUUGCUGUGUCUGUGGCAUAGGCCAGCAGCUACAGCUCCAAUUAGACCCCUAGCCUGGGAACCUCCAUAUGCCAUGGGUGUGGCCCUAAAAAAACAAAAAGACAAAAAAAAAAA
ensembl:lncRNA